rnacentral:miRNA from 10 species
AUAUAUGGUUGGUGCAAAAGUAAUUGCAGUUUUUGCCACUGGAAGUAAUGGCAAAAACCACAAUUCCUUUUGCACCAACCUAUAAA